GGACUAUUAUCCGUGCAAAUCGAUUAACCGGCAACCGUCCGGUGCCGAGCUGCCCGGAUAAUCGACGUUCUACUAUACCUGAUGACGAUGAUAGACGACUUCAGCCGGUAUACCAUCGUGUAUUUGUUAGAGAGGAAAUCCGAAGCAGCUGAAAAGAUAAAGGAAAGAAGGCAUUAAGGCACAAUACACGACAGCCUACUCGCCAUACAAAAAUGGCGUAUCAGAGAGGAAAAAUCGAUCUAUAGAGUAGAUGACAACAACGAUGCUCCUGGAUGCCGGAUUGGAUAAGCAAUACUGGGGCGAGGCAGCUCUAACGGCUGUAUACCUGCAAAACAGAUUACCAUCACGAUCUGUAAGUACUACUCCCUAUGAGCUGUGGUUUGGUCGGAAGCCGGAAAUAGGUCACCUUAAAGUAAAUGGUUGCCCAGCAUACGUACACAUUCGUAACGUCAAUAGAGGAAAGUUUGACAGUAAGGCUCGAAAACUAAUUUUCAUAGGGUACUCGCCAGAUCAUAAAGGUUACCGUUUCGUUAACACUGAGACCGACAAGAUCACGAUUAGCCGGGAUGUAACAUUUUUGGAAGAUGGUAUGAUGUCUACCCAUUGUAAUAGCCCCGUAAAGAAGCAGAGUAAAGUAACAGAACCGUCGCAAGAACAGGAAUGAAAAUAAUGAUUCAAAUGAAAACGAUAUAGAAUAUUUCUUGUCGAGUCCAUCAAAGCGUAACACUACGGAAGAUAGUUCACUCGUAUUUGCUGAUGACGAAAGCGAAAAUGUCGAGUUUUUCGAUGUCGAUAAUAACGAGG